GAACAGCAGGGCCGCAUGGUGUCAUAAUGAUCGCAGUGCCACUGGGAGAACAUUCUUUGAUUUAAGCUUUUGGAAAUCAAGAGAGGGAUUUCAUUCAGUGUCUCCCCCAUCCCUAUGUGGAAGUUUUUGAUUUAUUCCUUGAGUGACUGCUCUCUCUGGACGGGCUCUCCCUUCCCCUCUCCUGAAAGAAGGAAAAAAUAAGGAAAAGAGGAGCAAGGAAAAGAAUGAAUGGUUGCACGAUGCAGUAUCUGGGUGAGAUGUGCUGUCCUCCGGGCCACCUGCCCCCAACAGUGCCCAGCUCUGUCACAACUGCACAGUCUUGCAGUGCAGCACUGGCUUGUUCCCAGCGAUAACAACAUCUGCUGAGGCUGGAUGGAGAAGGGUGUCAGUCCAGGGUGUAACCGCCUCUCCUUCCCAGUGCCAGUGCUCUGCGUGAGCUCAUGCAAGGUGGAGGAGUUCAGCUCAGGACCUCACCCAGAAUCUUUGCUGUGUUCGUCACGAGUUACCACCUUUUGUGCA
rnacentral:lncRNA from 1 species